AUAACCAAGCUUGAGCUCAUCCUGGCGUAGGCCCAGCGAAUCACGAAGCAAAGAAGUGUAGCCAGAAUGAGGCACGACGAUACCAAGUUCACCUAUAUGAAGAAGACCAGAAAGACGAUACACUUCUUUCAAAGAGGGUGCGAGCUUAUGCCAAUUAAAGAUCACGAUCAGGAUCCCAACACUCUACAGCUACUUCCAGAAGCUCCCAGUCGAGCCUAACUUUACAGAGAUCAAAAGCAUAAAAGAGUCCUACCUCCUUCAAAGCUUGGAUGACCUCAUCGGAAAAUAAUAAAGUAAUCUAACCAUCCCUUCGUGGCAGCCGCUCCUUCUCUGCCGGAUUGGCCAAGGUGAUGAAAAAUUGGAAAAUGGGCAAGGCCCUUGAUCCGGGGGUUGGAAGGGGCUUAGAACAGCUUUCUGAAUUGCGAAAGAGUAACCUUUCCACCAUCCCCUACUAUUCUAGCCUCAUCUUUUGCUUUAGCUCAUUCUCUUGUUGAUUAUGUAAAAGAUUCUACAGAUGUCUUUGUUGAUAUUUUAAUUUAAGGCUACAGACUCGGCUUCUUUUCAAGCUCGGAAGUGACGAUUUGAAUGAAAUAGAGUAGUUUGAAGGAAAGCAUGUGACGGAUAUAAGGCAGUAUAUGUAGUAAACGGAUAAAGGAGUCGACUCUCUUUUCUUUUUAUAUUCCGCUC
rnacentral:lncRNA from 1 species